UAUGUCAGAUUGUGGGACCCGUGUUGGACAGACCAGCGAUUGAAAAGUAAAAGCAAUCUAUCCUCUCCGUUCCGGCGCCGCCUAAGGUGAGAAGCUCAUGGCUAUGGCGAUGGCCACCGCCGAAGGCGACUCAAUCGAGUUUCCAGUUGACAGAUUUCCCCUGCCGGAUCUCGCCGGCGGAGACCCAUUUGUGACCGCCGGAAUCACCAAAAUUCUCGUAUGUGCGGCUGCUGAGUCCAGCAUUGGAGAUGCUGGAGAGGCGGCAGUCACCCUACAAUUAUAUUUGCACAGCACUUGCGAUGGAGUGGCCCUGUCAGCACCAACCUCCCAGCAAUCUUCACACAAAGACGGCCCUACAUCCCCUCGAUGGACACGAAGAGUCCGUGUCGGUCGUGCACCUUCAGAACGUCAACCAUGUGCUGCAAGGAUGAGUGCCCUGGAAAAAAAUAUUUCGUCGAUAUGCAGAGAAGAAAAGUGACACUGUCAUAGUUCCUGUAGUUGGUAGCAACUUCGAUUCACUUGGGGAAGCUUAUGAUUAUUACAAUCUCUAUUCAUGGGAAAUCGGAUUUGGAGUAAGGUAUGGAAAGAGCAGGGUAAAUGUUGAAAGAACAAAAUGCAUGCAAGAGAUAGUUUGUGGGUUCUCUGGAAUCCCAAAGAAGAGUAACAUACGGACAUACAGAUGCAGAUGCCCUACAAUGAUACGGUUGCUUCGGUCUAAUGACAAUGGCUGGUACAUAAACGAGUACAGACCAGAUCACAAUCAUGCACUCACUGGAAAAUAUGGUGAGAAAGUUUACUGGCCUUCACACAGGCAUAUUGAUAUAUAUACACGGGGUGUUAUCAAACAGCUCCGUGAAAAUAAUAUCAGCAUUGGCAAAGUGUACAAUAUAAUCGGCAGUUUCUUUGGUUCAAUGGACAAUGUAUCAGUCAGCAAAAGAGCUCUGCGGGGGUUGUGUGGCAAGAUCAAUCGAGAACAAGCAGAUAAUGAUGUGAAGAAGACAAUAGAUGUUUUGCAGAGUUAGGAGCAAAAGACUCUGGGUUAUACUACGGAGUACAACAUGAUGGAGAGAGCCGCAUACAGAACUUGUUAUGGUCAACAGGAGCCAACAGAGCACAAUACCACUAUGCUCACAGUUGAUGAAUUCAAGACUGCAAGGAAGCAAUUAACCGAAAGAUAUGGUUUGCAAAAACACAAUUACCUCACCCAAAUAUAUGAAACGGGGGAAAAAUGGGCAAAACCAUAUUUUAAUGGAAAGUUCUGUGGAAAGAUGACAAUCACACAACGUAGCGAGAGUGCCAACCAUAUGUUGAAGACUUAUGUUCCAGCUAGGUGCCCCAUGCAUCUAUUUGUUCGCCAGUACAUGAGACUUCUUUUUGAUAGAGAUGCACCAAGAUAGGAAGUUAUUGAAAAUAUAGUAUCCUAUGUCAUUCAUGCCACCAUGAGUCUAAUACACCCUCUACAUGUGCAGGUAGCCCCUGUUAUGAAAAUAAACACACCACUCGAGCUGCAUGCCAGCAAAAUCUACACACGAGCCAUAUUAGAAAAUUUUGUGGAAGUUAUAUAUGAAGCAGGACAAUACAAAGUAGAAGAGGUUACUAAAGGUAAAACAUAUUUUGUUCGACGAUAUCAUCCAAAAAAACAUGAAAAAAUGUGCAGGAUUGUAUACAAAGUGGAAGUUGUCGAUGGAAGGGCAAACCUGAUAUGUGAGUGUGGCAAUUUUGAACACACUGGCUUGCUCUGCUGCCAUGGGGUCAAGUUAAGAAAGCAUUCUAUUCUCCUCGUAAAACAACUGUCUCAAAAAGCAUAAUAGAUGUGCAUGUGAUAGGUACUUGAUUUCCUCGGCAUAGACCAAAUACCUGCAAAACAUAUUAUGAAAAGUUGGACAAAGGAUGCAAGAGAUGUACUGCCAGCUCACCUGUCACAUAUUCAGAACGACAACAUUUAUGUAAAUUCAGUAACAUCCAGACAUUUGAAUCUGUACACACAGGCACUCGAAGUAGUGAGGUUGGGAGAUGCAAAUCCAGAAGCAUGUGAGUGUGCAAUGGAAAUGUUGAACCAAAAAUGGAUAAACUAUCACCAAUAGCUGCUGUCCGUGAUGGAAUCGGAUUGGAAGACAGACAGAACUCUGCAAACAAAAAAUAAAGGUAGAGAAGCUCUUCCAGCAAUUGUACAAGCCAGCGGCAAUGCAAGUGAUGCAGAAGGAAGUGCAGUUGGGGAUUUUAUAGGAUUAAAAGCUCCAGAGCGAAAAAGAAAGGCCGGACGACCAACCAACAGCAGGGACAAACCUCCAUAUGAUGAUCGAGGUGCAAAAAGCAAGAAAUUCAAGCAACGAGCAACUGCACAGGAUGUCGGCAAGUGCAGCACAAGCAAACGGAUUCGCUUGUGCAGUAUAUGCCGAGAACCAUGACACAAGAGCCCCACAUAUCCACAGAGAGAUCUUCCCCAGAAGGAGAGGAAAUAGGCAAAAUGCUCAGACUGUGGAAUCGGUGGGCACAGGAGAACUUGCAACAACCUAAAAGUUGUUCUCCAUGUUGAACCGAUUACUCUGGAAACAAAUGUCAUUACCACGAUUGAAUUAAACUUGCAGACUCUCUGUUGUUGAGGCCUCAGCAUGCAGUAUUUAUAUAUCAUCUGUGUAAUAAGACACAGCGUUUGUUGCUGUGUGCUACGUGUUGUGUUUGUUAACGAGAGAACCUGUUCAUCAACAAGUCUCAUCGCUGUUAAACUACAAGUACAAUCUAUGUACGAGCAUAAAUUCCUGAAAGUUCACCAUUUUAUUA